ensembl:antisense Slc13a2os solute carrier family 13 (sodium-dependent dicarboxylate transporter), member 2, opposite strand
UCCCUCCCAGGAUCAGAGCAGGCUUACCCAAGGCUAUGGCAGGGUGUGGCACUACUAUGUGUGCUGGAUGCGUCUGGCCAGAGCUGUGUGUGAGCCUCUGCACACUUGUAAGGACUCGUGGGUCUGAGCACGCUGUACAGAUGUACAUGAUGGUGGCUUUCUGUGACUGGGCGUGAAGGGGCUGUGCACACAGGAAUGUGGGUGUCUUGGACAGGUUUGAGAGCCUCUGUGGUCUGGCUGCCCAUGUAGACUGUUGCUAGUUGAACAGAACUGGGUCAGACUCUAGGAAACUCUUCAAAUGAAUCCCAGGUUUACACGGCACUAUCCACACUGAGAGAAUUAGGACUUCAGCCAAGGAGAGCUCCCGUCAUAUCAUCACCCGUCAGAUGAAGUACAGCAAGGAAGGGGAUUUGCCUAAGGUCUGGGAGUCCGAGUGUCUAGGGCAUGCAUGCGUGCAUAGGCAAACAGAAGAAUCACCUCAAAUGCUUCUCUAACAAACUGUGUUCCUUGAGGAAUCCCCAACAGCUCAUCCAAGGACCAUGGAGCACUAUGGGAAGGUGCCUGGCUGGGGUCUUCAGGGCUGGAGAGAUGGUUUACUUGGUAAGAUACUUGCCAUGUGAACAUCCAGAUCUGAGUUCAGUCCCAGCACUCAUAUAAGAAUGGCUGUAGGGAUGCAGAGACUAAAGGAGCCCUAGGGUUCACUGGCUAGCCAGAGCAAUCCAGAUGACUUCCAGAUUUAUUGAGAGACCUUGUCUCAGAAAAUAAGGGGACCCCCCUCACACACACACACACACACACACACACACACACACACACGGCAUGGUUUUCCAUCCCAGAAUUCACCAUUCCAUCAGACUCAUCUUGCCUGUCUGUUAACAGGGGCAGCAUUCUGCACCCAGUAAUUCUCUCAUGUGGGAGGCCAAGAACCUAAAGAGAGGGAAGGUUUACUUGCAGCAUGGUCCCCCACCACGUUGAAUGAAACAGAGGCUCCCAGGGGUAUGGGCAGGAAACUGGGCUUCUCUUACCUAAGGCACCACUUACUUGACACCCAGGAAGAGGACCUGUAGCCAUAGCCAAGCCAGUAGCAGCAAGAUCACCAUGGUGGGGAAGGCAAAACCAAACCAUGAAGCAAAGUUCACCACGUUACUAUUUUCAGGGAAGAUCCUGAUGAAGAAGACAUGGGCUGUUGUGUAACAGUGACCCUAAAACUGCCUGGUCCCAUUUGUCACUCAGUGAGAGUGCAAGCCCCCUUUUGUCAUGCUGCCCCCACCGCUGGCACUCACGAGUUGACCUGGCCUUGGAGCACCAGGUUGGGUGUGGUACCCGUCAGGGUGGCAAUGCCCCCAAUGCUGGCUGAGUAGCAGAUGCAGAGACUCAGGCCCUGGCUGAAGCGGUGAUGCUCUUUGGUCUUCUGAGCUCUUGGCUCCGAAGAAACAGAUACAGCCUGACCGUUAUCUGUGAACAAGGAAAAGCAUGUGGGGACAGGGACAAGAGUAACUGCAGGAGUCCUGACUUUGUCCUGAGGCCUCCAGGGGCCGUGGGCAGAGGCUGUCUCCAGAUUCCAGCAUUCUCUGGAGCUGUGGGCUUCUCAGACACGUUCUGGUUCAACGUGUCUUGGGGAACUGAAGCACAGAGAUGUGAAGAGGGUUACCUAGACCAAGCAGGAGGAAUAAAGCCCAGAACACGUCCCAUGUCCCAGACUUUAGCUCGCUUCUCACCAAACUCUUGGAUUGCUGGGAAUGAAGGGUCCUAGCACAGGGUGCUUCGCUCUUUGGUGUUUACUAUUGUUAUCAUUGUUACAUUACCAGGACUCAACAUGCUGCGCAACUGCCCUACCAUUUUUAGCCCCAUGGAUCUUGGCAUUUAAUAUUUUUGAAACAAAAUUAUUAUGGUGUUAUUAUUGUUGUUAGUAAUAACAAUAAUAACUAUUUAUUAUUAUUAUUAUUAUUAUUAUUAUUACACACAUGCAUGCACAUGCACACACACACACACUGGCACACACACGCACGCACACACACGAGUGUGCGAAUGCACGUGCCUCAGUACACAUAUGAAAGUCUGAAGACAACUUGCAGGAGCCAGUUCCCUCUUUCUAUCAUGUGGAUCCCAGGGAUCGAACUCAGGUCUUUGGGCUUGCUGGCAGGUACCCUUACCUCCUGAAAUAUCUCACCAACCUCCACUGGCAUUUUAAAUCUAGGAAAGCCUCAAAAAGACCUGGACAGGUUGGCCACUCAUCUCUCUCUCUCUCUCUCUCCCCCAUGGGCUCCAAGAUGAAUACUUUUGUAGUCAUGUUAGGUUUUCCCAAGCAUGGAGGGGCUGAGGAUAGAGUCUGUUUCAUGUCUCUUACCAAGCUUGGUCUCCUCCUUCUGGGGACUUGCUUCCUGGAGCUCAAAGGAAGGGUUACUAUUGCCUUCCUCCACAUCCUUUUGUGAGCCCUGCAGCUGCUCCAGGACUGCAUACCCGAUGGGCAGCAUCAUGGCUGUGGUGGCUGUGUUGCUGAUCCACAUGGAGAGGAAGGCUGUGACCAACAUGAAGCCCAGAAGCAGCCUAGAACCAAACAGACAGACACACUGCCACUCCAGCUGUCUUCCAGACAUAGGAUGCCCGUUUGUUCCUCCCACCUGGCUAGCACGGACUCACAGGGCGGGCCGCACUCCUAUGAUAAGGAGCACUCCAAGGGCAAUGCGCUUGUGCAGGUUCCAGUGCUCCACGGCGAUGGCCACCAUCAGACCCCCGACGAACAAUAUGUUGGUGUCCUUGAAGUACUCUAAGCAGACCUGGGGGAGAGCAGGUAUGUGUCUGAGACUCUGGGGUCUCCUCCUGAUACCACCGAGCUUGUGGGGAACAGUCAUGACAUCGUUACAAAUUGGCAUUCCCUUGGGACCUCAGAACCAAAUGGAAAUGGCCUUUGGGCCACCGACCGUUGACAGGAGCCAGGUUGCCUGCUCCUCCUAAACUCACUCCUCUUCUCCUCUCAAAGACUGGGAGGCUCUAGCCUGAGUCCAGUUGUGGUUCAAGCUGAGAACUGGGAGAUAACUAAUUCUCUGCUCUUUCUAGAACGUAUGUGUCAUCCCUGGGCCAGUAUCAACACCAUCCCCUGAGACCGGUUACAAGCCAAAUGUUCAGCGGGGCUUGGUAGCUCAGCUGAAGUCCCCGGAGCAGGGAAGCUGUGAAUUCGAGGCCAGCCUGGGCUACACAGAAAGAAGCUGUGUUAGAAUGAAGGAGAAGGAAGAGGACUAAGAGAAGGAAGAAGGGAGGGAGGAGGAAGAGAGAGAAGGAGGAAGAAGAGGAAAGAGGAAGGGAAGAGAAAGAGGAAAAUCCUUUAGAUUUAGGUGAGCUCAGAUGAAGGCCCAUCUAUCUGGUUUGCUUCUCAGUUCUGGUUGUUCUGGUGCGAUUCAAACUCAAGAGCCAUUACAUUAGAAGUAUAGCUGGAGGGCCAGAGAGAUGGUUCAUCAGUUCAGAGCACUUUCUGCUCUUCCAGAGGGCCCGGGUUCAGUUCCCAGUGUCCCUGGAUGGUUCACAACCAUCUUUAACACAAGGGCAUUCAAUGCCCUCUUGUGAUCUCUGAGGGUACCAGGCACAAAUGUGAUACACAUAAAUGUGUGCAUCAAAUACAAACAUCUUUUU